rnacentral:rRNA from 1 species
AUUGAACGCUGGCGGCAGGCCUAACACAUGCAAGUCGAGCGAGCGGCGGACGGGUGAGUAAUGUCUGGGAAACUGCCUGAUGGAGUGGGAUAACUACUGGAAACGGUAGCUAAUACCGCAUACCAUCAGAUGUGCCCAGAUGGGAUUAGCUAGUAGGGGGGGUAACGGCUCACCUAGGCGACGAUCCCUAGCUGGUCUGAAAGGAUGACCAUCCAGACUGGAACUGAGACACGGGCCAGAGUCCUACGUGAGGCAGAAGUGGGGAAUAUUGAACAAUGGGCGCAAGACUGAUGCAGCCAUGCCGCGUGUGUGAAGAAGGCCUUCGGGUUGUAAAGGACUUUCAGCGGGGAGGCGUUACCCGCAGAAGAAGCAACGGCUGACUCCGUGCCAGCAGCCGCGGUAAUUC